AAAGACUCUGCAAGAUGCCU
rnacentral:miRNA from 1 species